rnacentral:miRNA from 1 species
CAUAGAGCGUGGACUGGGUGUGC